rnacentral:rRNA from 1 species
GCAUAUCAAUAAGCGGAGGAAAAGAAACUAACAAGGAUUCCCCUAGUAGCGGCGAGCGAAGCGGGAAGAGCUCAAUUUUGUAAGCUGGUACCUUCGGUGCCCGCGUUGUAAUCUCGAGAAGUGUUUUCCGUGCCAGACCGCAUACAAGUCUGUUGGAAUACAGCGUCAUAGUGGUGAGAACCCCGUAGAUGAUGCGGAUGCCUGGUGCUCUGUGAUACACUUUCGAAGAGUCGAGUUGUUUGGGAAUGCAGCUCAAAUUGGGUGGUAAAUUCCAUCUAAAGCUAAAUAUUGGCGAGAGACCGAUAGCGAACAAGUACCGUGAGGGAAAGAUGAAAAGCACUUUGGAAAGAGAGUUAACAGUACGUGAAAUUGUUGGAAGGGAAACGCUUGAAGUCAGACUUGCUAUUUGGAGUUCAGCCGCAAGGUGUAUUCUUCAAUUUGCAGGCCAGCAUCAGUUUUUGGGGGUAGAAAAGGGUGUUUGGAAUGUGGCAGCUCCGGCUGUGUUAUAGCCUUUCACUGGAUCUAUCCCUGGGGACUGAGGAACGCAGCGCGCUUUUUGCAAACCUCUUGGGGUUUUCCGCGCUUAGGAUGCUGGUGGAAUGGCUUUAAACGACCCGUCUUGAAACACGGACCAAGGAGUCUAACAUGCCUGCGAGUAUUUGGGUGUUAAACCCGGAUGCGCAAUGAAAGUGAAUGGAGGUGGGAACCGCAAGGUGCACCAUCGACCGAUCUGGAUCUUUUGAGAUGGAUUUGAGUAAGAGCAUGUAUGUUGGGACCCGAAAGAUGGUGAACUAUGCCUGAAUAGGGCGAAGCCAGAGGAAACUCUGGUGGAGGCUCGUAGCGGUUCUGACGUGCAAAUCGAUCGUCAAAUUUGGGUAUAGGGGCGAAAGACUAAUCGAACCAUCUAGUAGCUGGUUCCUGCCGAA